rnacentral:misc_RNA from 1 species
ACAAUGACAAUACGCGGGUAUUGUUUAACCUUUAUAUAUUUAAUAAUAAAUUUUAAAUAGGUAUUUUAAUAAAAUAAUCUUUAUUUUUUUUAAUUAUUUACUAUUUCAAAGAUAAUUUAGAAAGAUAACGCUUGUUAUUAUUUCAAUUUAUCUACUAAAAAGAAACACUCUCAUUGCUAUUCUUAGUAGGAACAUUCUAAAGAGCCGAGGAGUACAUAAUUAUCUUAUCACAGACAUUAAUUCAUUCAUUCAUUAUUCUGUUCAUUCAUUCAUAUUAACUAUAGCAAAUAUUUAUAAUGGCAAAACAUCAUAAAUGACGCUUCAAAGCGUUCAAUU